GCCACGGUGAUCUAGCCGUUAGAACGCAGGCCUUGUAAUCCUGGGGUCUCGGGUUCGAUUCCCGGCGGUGCCC
rnacentral:tRNA from 1 species